ACCUCUCUCUUACGCUCUCAUCCAACGUCCCAAGUUCAACUUCUUCAUCCGUUUCACACAUAAAGGGGGAGUUCAUAAACUCACUCUUUACGUUUACGAUAGAAAAUUCAAUACCCACCCUAUUUCUCCAUUAUUGAUCUUCCAUUACGCUAAAAACCACAUUGAAUGCAUUAAGAUCCUCAUUCUUGUUUCGAGGUUUAUCUUUAGUCCAUCAAUUUAAGAAAUCACACGGCAGAGCUUUACCUGAUUCAUUGCUAACUGUUUAUAUUUUCUUUCCCAAAAUUGCAACUUUAAUUAUCUCUCUAAUCAGUAAUCUAAAUUUUCUUAAACUGAUAUUAAGUGGGGCUUACUAAUAGGUUUGUUUCAGAUUGUGUGUUUGUUUUGAAUUUUGAUUUGGUGCUUUUAUUUACAUGAAUUUCACUUCACAGAUUGCAUAUCUUCUUAAACUGAUAGAGAGUAGGGUUUCCUAAUGGGUUUGUUUCAGAUUAUGGAGUUGUUUUGAAUUUUGAUUUGGUAUUUUUAUGUACACAUAUUGCAUAUGAAGCUCAGAAAUCGGUUGAACCCUGAAUCUGAUCGUGGAUCCAAGAAAUGCAUAGUUGUAAGAUAUUAAUCAAGUUUCUUUUGUAUGUUUAAUUUUGAGAAAUUAAGUAGCUUUUCUAAACAUUUUAUACUAGAAGGUUAUGCUUUCACUCUUUAUGAAGCAUUAAAAUGGACGUCACGAAUCUAUGUUUCCAUUUUAGACUGUUGUUGAACUUGGUUGUUGUAAUAGUUGGAUUUCUUAUACUGAUCGUGGCUAAUGCUUUCCUCCUUAACUAUAUACAUAAGUUUUCCUCAAUUGUGUGUCGCGUUGAUAUUGCUUUUCUCUUUAACAAAUAUACAUACGCUUAAUGUUUUUAACUCUUUAUCUUUAAUUUGUGGCACUGAUGUAUCUUCGGUUGCUUCUAAAUAUACUUCCCCCCCUGUUUUCUACUUUCAGUUGUUCUAUAGUGUAAUUGUCAUAUCUGUAGAUAUGGAUUUAUCAUAUCAAGAUUGUACUUGGACAUAUGAUGAAUCUUAUAUCCAUUGCAUGGGAAAGGAAUUGAAGGAACAUGCGAGUUAUUGAAGAUCUUAGAAUCAAAGAUUUCAGGAGAGUAAGUUUUUGAAGUUCUUGGGGUCACUAUGGUGUCCAUCAUCAUAGAUUAUGGAAGCUGCAGCCGCAAUAGUUGAAACCCAAACCGUCUCCAGAAGUGAACCAAAUAUAACAUCAUCUGGAGAAAACGUCAUCCACAUUAACCUUGCUAGGAUACCACUAACACUUGAAGACUGUUUAUAGAAUCUUUCCCUUCCACUGCUGCUAAAAGUUGUUGAUAUCAGCAACCUAAAAUGACCGUUGAGCUUCAUGGUCAUAUCACGAACUGCAUACAUGAUCAGUAUGGGAGCCAUGUCAUAUUGUCAUUCAGAAGUGUAUUAAAGCAUUCCGCAAAAUGUUAUUCACUUUGUCAUUUCAUCCUUCCGGGAUUCACUUAUGCAUUCAUUGUAUACCAGAGAAUACCUAGGGGAGCCGGAGAUUUAAGAUAGGGUGUAAGGUUCUCUCAUCGAAGCACUGAAUGAUUUUGGCGGGCUAUGUAAGGUGAUAUGCAAAAAUACCAUGUUCCCCAUAUGGUUAUCUCCAGAUGUGAACUACUUGUCCCAAUUUGGCAUCAUUUUGAGAAUUUUUAUGUGCUUUUUGGUAGAUUUAAUUGCUACUGGCAGUCUUGUGUACUCAAUGAAACUUUUUAUCUCCAUUGAGUAUGUCGCAUGUAUGUUAUCUUAAUUGAGUCAUGUACAAUCGAGUAAGUGAAACUUUGCGUUAUUUGUUUUUUA